CACAAUAAAAUAUGAAGGCUGUACGCGGCUGUGCUCUCGGGCCAGUUUUGCGGAGGCUGAAUUAUUUAUUACCCUUGUCUUUUGCGCACUUGUUGUUUCCUGGGCGGGUUGCGCCCGCCACCAGGACCACAUCAUAAACCUUUUUUAUGCAGUUGCAAUCAGCGUCAGUAUAACAAAUGUAAAUCAUUUA
rnacentral:misc_RNA from 1 species